UAGGAUCUCGGUUCUAUUUUGUUGGUUUUCUGAUCUGAGAUAAUGGUUAAGAGGGACAGACGGGGGCAUUCGUAUCGCUUCGUGAGACGUGAAAUUCUUGGACCGUAGCGAGACGCCCGACUGCGAAAGCUUUUGCCAAGAAUGUCUUCAUUAAUCAAGAACGAAAGUCAGAGGUUCGAAGGCGAUCAGAUACCGCCCUAGUUCUGACCGUAAACGAUACCCACUAGCGUUCCGUCAUCGGUAAAUAUGCCUUGACGGGCAGCUUCCCGGAAACGAAAGUGUUUCGGUUCCGGGGGAAGUAUGGUUGCAAAGCUGAAACUUAAAGAGAUUGACGGAAGGGCACCACCAGGAGUGGAGCCUGCGGCUUAAUUUGACUCAACACGGGAAAACUCACCUGGCCCGGACACCGUGAGGAUUGACAGAUUGAGAGCUCUUUCUUGAUUCGGUGGUUGGUGGCGCAUGGCCGUUCGUGGUUCGUGGAUUGGUCUGUCAGGUUUAUUCCGAUAACGAGCGAGACUCUGACCUACUAAAUAGUGUCUAGAUUAUUUUUGUCUUGACGACUUCUUAGAGCGACAAGCGGUGUUCAGCCGCAUGAAGUUGAGCAAUAACAGGUCUGUGAUGCCCUCAGAUGUUCAGGGCUGC
rnacentral:rRNA from 1 species